CAGUAGCCGCGGGAACACGGAGGGGGCUAGCGUUGUUCGGAAUUACUGGGCGUAAAGCGCACGUAGGCGGUUAUUCAAGUCAGAGGUGAAAGCCCGGGGCUCAACCCCGGAACUGCCUUUGAAACUAGAUGACUAGAAUCUUGGAGAGGCGAGUGGAAUUCCGAGUGUAGAGGUGAAAUUCGUAGAUAUUCGGAAGAACACCAGUGGCGAAGGCGACUCGCUGGGCCGACACUGACACUGAGAGACGAAAGCUAGGGGAGCAAAUGGGAUUAGAUACCCCCGUAGUCCCUGUCUCUUAUAC
rnacentral:rRNA from 1 species